rnacentral:rRNA from 1 species
AAACUCACCAGGUCAGGACACGGUAAGGAUUGACGGACUGAAGGCUUCUUUCUCGAUUCCGUGGAAAGUGGUGCAUGGUCCGUUUUUGGUUGGUGGAUCGAUCCGUCUGGUUAAUUCCGUUAACGAACGAGACCUCGGCACUCCGAAUAGCGCGGCGGACGUCGCGGCCUCCGGGCCGUCUUCCGCACGAGCUUCUUAGAGGGACCGUCCCCCGCCGGGGGAAGGAGGUGCGAGGCAACGACAGGUCUGUGAUGCCCUUAGAUGUUCUGGGCCGCACGCGCAUUACACUGACGCGUCCAACGGGUGACUCCCGACCCGAAGGGGCCGGGGAAUCCGCAAGGCGCGUCGUGAUGGGGAUUGAACGUUGCAAUUGUUGUUCACGAACGAGGAAUUCCUAGUAGGCGCGGGUCAUCAACCCGCGCCGAUUACGUCCCUGCCCUUUGUACACACC